rnacentral:rRNA from 1 species
GGUAAGGCCCCUUCGGGGGUACACGAGUGGCGAACGGGUGAGUAACACGUGGGUGAUCUGCCCUGCACUCUGGGAUAAGCCUGGGAAACUGGGUCUAAUACCGGAUAUGAGCUCCUGUCGCAUGGCGGGGGUUGGAAAGGUUUACUGGUGCAGGAUGGGCCCGCGGCCUAUCAGCUUGUUGGUGGGGUAAUGGCCUACCAAGGCGACGACGGGUAGCCGGCCUGAGAGGGCGACCGGCCACACUGGGACUGAGACACGGCCCAGACUCCUACGGGAGGCAGCAGUGGGGAAUAUUGCACAAUGGGCGAAAGCCUGAUGCAGCGACGCCGCGUGAGGGAUGACGGCCUUCGGGUUGUAAACCUCUUUCAGCAGGGACGAAGCGAGAGUGACGGUACCUGCAGAAGAAGCACCGGCCAACUACGUGCCAGCAGCCGCGGUAAUACGUAGGGUGCGAGCGUUGUCCGGAAUUACUGGGCGUAAAGAGCUCGUAGGCGGUUUGUCGCGUCGUCCGUGAAAACUUGGGGCUCAACCCCAAGCUUGCGGGCGAUACGGGCAGACUUGAGUACUGCAGGGGAGACUGGAAUUCCUGGUGUAGCGGUGAAAUGCGCAGAUAUCAGGAGGAACACCGGUGGCGAAGGCGGGUCUCUGGGCAGUAACUGACGCUGAGGAGCGAAAGCGUGGGUAGCGAACAGGAUUAGAUACCCUGGUAGUCCACGCCGUAAACGGUGGGCGCUAGGUGUGGGUUUCCUUCCACGGGAUCCGUGCCGUA